CCUACGGGUGGCAGCAGUGAGGAAUAUUGGUCAAUGGGCGCGAGCCUGAACCAGCCAAGUCGCGUGAGGGAGGACGGCCCUACGGGUUGUAAACCUCUUUUGCCGGGGAGCAACGGGCGUCACGUGUGGCGCUACUGAGAGUACCCGGAGAAAAAGCAUCGGCUAACUCCGUGCCAGCAGCCGCGGUAAUACGGAGGAUGCGAGCGUUAUCCGGAUUUAUUGGGUUUAAAGGGUGCGUAGGCGGAUGGUUAAGUCCGUGGUAAAAUUGAGGGGCUCAACCCCUUCCCGCCAUUGAAACUGGGGUUCUUGAGUGGAAGAGAAGUAUGCGGAAUGCGUGGUGUAGCGGUGAAAUGCAUAGAGAUCACGCAGAACCCCGAUUGCGAAGGCAGCAUGCCGGCUUCCGACUGACGCUGAAGCACGAAAGCGUGGGGAUCGAACAGGAUUAGAUACCCUGGUAGUC
rnacentral:rRNA from 1 species